GAUCUAGCUUGCUAGAUGCUGACGAGUGGCGCACGGGUGCGUAACGCGUAUACAAUCUACCUUUAACUGAGGGAUAGCCCAGAGAAAUUUGGAUUAAUACCUCAUAGUAUUAUAAUUAGGCAUCUUUUUAUAAUUAAAACUUCGGUGGUUAAAGAUGAGUAUGCGUACUAUUAGCUAGUUGGUAAGGUAAAAGCUUACCAAGGCAACGAUAGUUAGGGGGCCUGAAAGGGUGAUCCCCCACACUGGUACUGAGACACGGACCAGACUCCUACGGGAGGCAGCAGUGAGGAAUAUUGCACAAUGGAGGAAACUCUGAUGCAGCCAUGCCGCGUGCAGGAAGAAUGCCCUAUGGGUUGUAAACUGCUUUUAUACAAGAAGGAACCUCGGUACGUGUACCGACUUGACGGUAUUGUAUGAAUAAGCACCGGCUAACUCCGUGCCAGCAGCCGCGGUAAUACGGAGGGUGCAAGCGUUAUCCGGAUUUAUUA
rnacentral:rRNA from 1 species